rnacentral:rRNA from 1 species
UACGAAGGGGGCUAGCGUUGUUCGGAAUUACUGGGCGUAAAGGGCGCGCAGGCGGCCGCUCAAGUCAGAUGUGAAAGCCCCGGGCUCAACCUGGGAACUGCAUUUGAUACUGAGUGGCUAGAGUUCGGGAGAGGAGAGUGGAAUUCCCAGUGUAGAGGUGAAAAUUCGUAGAUAUUGGGAAGAAACACCGGUGGCGAAGGCGGCUCUCUGGACCGACACUGACGCUGAGGCGCGAAAAGCGUGGG